AAAAAAUAGAGAGAGAGAGGGAGAAAUAAAAGCAAACAGCUAGUAACAAAUGAAUUAGCCAUAUCUAUGCGCCUGGCCAUAUAAGCCCACGAGUGUGAGUGACGGCGUGAUAACGCGUUAUUACACUAUAAAAUCAUUAAUAUGGCGGCUCUAAUGUCGAGGAUAUGUAAAUGCAGGCGCUGUCACGCGAAACGCUUAUAAAAAAAAACGCAAAAAAAAAAAGCAUAGACAACGAGCCCUGAAAUGCGGCAUUAGCUGCCUAUAGACUAUAGAGAACCAUUGACAACGCCUACCAUUUGAGCCCAUUACCCAACACUUUGGCCAUAAAGUCGAGUGUGUGCCCCAGUGCGCCGCCAAGGCAACGAAAUCUAUUAGUUUGCCAAGGCUUGGCGGGAAUUCCAGUAGAACACGAAGAAGAGGUGGAAGAGCUGCGACAAUUCCGUAAAUUUGAUAUGCGCAAUUUGUUGCGAGGACGAAGGACUAAGAACUCAGAACGAAGGACGAAGGACGAGGGAGCUUGGCAACCUGUUGCCGCUUGUUACGCACUUUUAUGACGCCAGCGGGUGGGCUUCGAGUGGAUUGCGUGUGUGUGUCUCAGCCCAACCCGGUAAAAACAACCUCAAAGUAGUCCCCAUUAAAGGUAAUAUGCCACAUGAGUCGCUGAUGGAACGCACUCACAUGUUUUCUGCGGAUUGCCAUAACAUAUUCAAAGGGGAGACAUAUUCGCAAGGACCUGACUUUCCUCGGACUCAGUAACGGCCCCACACAAUAAGCAUUCUGGCCCAGUUACUUGCGCUCGCCUUUAUUUCCUGCGGCUUCCCCUUUUGCAGCCUUGAGGGUAAUCGCUGCCCAUAAGCAGGCACAAAGUUUAAUAAAAAAAUGUAGAACAAAAACGAAUUCAAUUCACCUAGCCAAGCAAUUAUGCCGCAGCAAAGUUGAAAAAGUAAAAAACUUAUUCAAAUGGCUCUCAAUUAAGUUAAGUUUCGGCUACGGCAAAGCUAUGUAGCUGAACGGAGAAACAAGUUUGAGGAACAAAUGUCCAAACUGAUGAAAGUUCAUAUAAAAUGUUGGCUAUAAAAGCAAAUACUGAUCUAUCUACAUACAACUAGAAACUAUGUAUGAUAUAUUUUUAAAAUUUUUAUGGUUCUCAUGUAAACAUUUUUGAGAAAUAUACAAAACCAGGACAAA